UGCGGUCUGUUUCGAUUUUCCUCGUGCAAGAACCCAACGGCCGUCGACGUCCUCGUGUUCGGCGUGAUUUUGCUGCCUUUCGCCGCCGCCGCCGCCGUCGGCGAACAUCAUAUAUAGAUGCCCCCGGCCGGUGCGUGCAGGUGGAGGCGGUAGGUCAAGGGCUGCAUCAUCAUCAUCGAGACUCGAUCGGUUGGUGUCGAUGGAUGGCUGCUAGAGGACGACGAGACCGAUCGGGAGGAGCUCGGAGCGUUCCGGUGGUCGCCGUCGCGCUGCCUGUCGAUCAGUCGGUCGCCGAGAAGGUGACGAUAUGGAGCUGGAGCCUCACAUGGGGAAAGCGGCGUGGUUCUCAUUCUCAACUGUUCAGCGUGGGUGCCUGGGUGGCAUGCCAUCGCCACUUGCCCAUCGCCGGUGCUCCCAUGUAUAAAAUGCAUCUAAUCUAUUUGUUCAGUAUCCAAUGGUGUUAUGACAUUUUGCAAAUAAGUUCUCCCACGCUUUUUA